GGAGGGGUGCCGGAGCGGUUGAACGGGGCGGUCUCGAAAACCGUUGCGGGCCUUACGGUCCGCCGAGGGUUCGAAUCCCUCCCCCUCCG
rnacentral:tRNA from 1 species